rnacentral:tRNA from 1 species
GUCCCCAUCGUCUAGAGGCCUAGGACACCGCCCUUUCACGGCGGUAACGGGGGUUCGACUCCCCCUGGGGACGCCA